rnacentral:tRNA from 1 species
CCCUGGUUAGCUCAGUUGGUAGAGCGCUCCACUUGUAAUGGAGAGGUCCCGGGUUCGAUACCCGGACCAGGGG